rnacentral:rRNA from 1 species
AGAGUUUGAUCAUGGCUCAGAUUGAACGCUGGCGGCAUGCUUAAUACAUGCAAGUCGAACGGUAACAGAUUCUUCGGAAUGCUGACGAGUGGCGGACGGGUGAGUAAUACAUAGGAAUCUGCCCAUGUAGUGGGGGACAACUUGGGGAAACUCAAGCUAAUACCGCAUAAUUCCUACGGGAUAAAGAGGGCCACUGCUUGCAAGCUCUUGCUACUGGAUGAGCCUAUGUCGGAUUAGUUAGUUGGUAAGGUAAUGGCUUACCAAGACAGCGAUCCGUAGCUGGUUUGAGAGGAUGAUCAGCCACACUGGGACUGAGACACGGCCCAGACUCCUACGGGAGGCAGCAGUAGGGAGUAUUGGACAAUGGGCGCAAGCCUGAUCCAGCAAUGCCGCGUGUGUGAAGAAGGCCUGCGGAUUGUAAAGCACUUUCAAUUGGGAAGAAAGAUUAUGAGUUAAUACCUUAUAAUAUUGACG